ensembl:lncRNA
GGGGGAGGAGGGGGUGAAGAGGAGAGGGAAGCAGUUGAGGUGCGGUCUACGGAGAGAAAGGGGGAGGGAGGUGAAGAGGAGAGGGAAGCUGUUGAGGUGCGGUCUACAGAGAGAAAGGGGGGGGGGGGGUUAAGGGGAGAGGGAAGCAGUUGAGGUGCGGUCUACGGAGAGAAAGGGAGAGGGGGUGACGUGUCCAAACAAAGUGGUGGGAAAUUUGGGUGGAUACAAACACUGAAAUUAACAAGCAGACAGAGAUAUACAUCAACAGUAAUGUAUACAGCACAGCUACCUGUAUGUACACACAGA